UACGAAGGGUGCAAGCGUUAAUCGGAAUUACUGGGCGUAAAGGGCGCGUAGGUGGCUUGGUAAGUUUGAUGUGAAAUCUCCGGGCUUAACCCGGAAAUGGCAUUGAAUACUAUUGAGCUGGAGGUUUGGAGGGGGGACUGGAAUUCUCGGUGUAGCAGUGAAAUGCGUAGAUAUCGAGAGGAACACCAGUGGCGAAGGCGAGUCCCUGGACAGCACCUGACACUGAGGCACGAAAGCUAGGGGAGCAAACAGG
rnacentral:rRNA from 1 species